rnacentral:rRNA from 1 species
CAAUAGCGUAUAUUAAAGUUGUUGCAGUUAAAAAGCUCGUAGUUGGAUUUCGGGGUGGCCUGCCUGGUCCACCGCAAGGUGAGUACUGGUCAGCCGCCCUUCCUCUCGAAAGCCCCGACUGCUCUUCAUUGCAGUGGUCGGGUAGUUCGGGACGUUUACUUUGAAAAAAUUAGAGUGUUCAAGGCAGGCCGUCGCCUGAAUACAUUAGCAUGGAAUAAUGGAAGAGGACCUCGGUCCUAUUUUGUUGGUUUCUAGGGCCGAAGUAAUGAUUAAGAGGGACAGUUGGGGGCAUUCGUAUUUAAUUGUCAGAGGUGAAAUUCUUGGAUUUAUGAAAGACGAACUUCUGCGAAAGCAUUUGCCAAGGAUGUUUUCAUUGA